GGGGCAAGGAGUUACCACAGUGGCCUGGUGCUUUUUUUUUUUUUUUAAUCUUUUACUACUAAUCUGAGUCGUUUGCCAAAGCCCACCCCACCUUAACUUUGCCAAAACCCUCAGGGUUAAUUCACAGUUUGUUCCUUCCAGCUCAGCACAGAAUCCUGAACGGGUGGCCAUUGAAGACAAAUUGCAAAGGCUGUCAUGACCUCCAGGAGGAGGGGCUUCUAGCUUCAGAAAUCCCAGCGGAGAAACUUCGAGCCCCCAGGUCUGUGAAGAAGCUCUGUAGACACACGUCCAGCCAGGUGCCAGCUGGGAGCUGAGGCUGAGGUGCCUGUCACUGAAAUGCUGGAAGAGAAUCCAUAGCUUAAAAUGUUAUAUUUAGCCAAAGCCAGCUCCCAUUCCCCCCCACCCCACCCCCAAAAAAGCUGAAAGAAUUUUCCUGAGUGCACCUGCAUUUCAGUAAAUAUUUAAAGAACUCCUUCAGGCUGAAGACGGACAAUUCCAGAGCCAUUCCAGAACUCACUUCUGAAAGCAAAGGUGGAUGUUAAGUAGUUUGCUUUUCUAAAAAAAAAAAAAAAAAAAAAAACCUUAAUAAAUGACAACAGCUUAAAGCAAAAGCAACAAGGAAUUGUGGGCUGAUAAUAGAUGUGGAAGUUAAAUGGAGCAGAGGCGUGACCCAGACUGGCAGUCGGAAAAUGCUGUCUGGUGGUGGGCUAUGAUGACUCACUCUGUCGGAGCUGCAGAGUGGCCCAGGGGCUAAGAGGAGGGAUGAUUUGGUUCUCAGCACCCACAUGAGGCAGCUCACAACUGCCCGUGACUCCAUCUCCAGGAGAUCCGAUGCCUCUGCAGGCACCUGCAUACGCAUAUGCAUCCCACUCAGAGACACAACUACACACACACACAUACAUACACACACACAUGUAUAUGUAUAUAUAUAAAAUCUUGGGGUUGGAGAGAUGGUUCAUCGGUUAAGAGCACUGACUGUUCUUCCAGAGGUCCUGAGUUCAAAUCCCAGCACCCACAUGGCAGUUCACAACUGUGUAACUCUCACCCAGUCUUACACUCGAAACACCAAGGAACAUAAGACAAAACAAAGUACUUAAAAA
rnacentral:lncRNA from 1 species